rnacentral:rRNA from 1 species
AGAGUUUGAUCCUGGCUCAGGAUGAACGCUAGCGGCAGGCCUAACACAUGCAAGUCGAGGGAGAGGUUAUCUUCGGGUAACCAAAACCGGCGCACGGGUGCGUAACGCGUAUACAAUCUGCCUUUCACAUAGGGAUAGCCCGAAGAAAUUUGGAUUAAUACCUAAUGGUAUAUAGGAGCGGCAUCGUUUUUAUAUUAAAGCUACGGUGGUGAAAGAUGAGUAUGCGUUCUAUUAGCUAGUUGGAGAGGUAACGGCUCCCCAAGGCGACGAUAGAUAGGGGUUCUGAGAGGGAUGUCCCCCACACUGGUACUGAGAUACGGACCAGACUCCUACGGGAGGCAGCAGUGAGGAAUAUUGGACAAUGGUCGGAAGACUGAUCCAGCCAUGCCGCGUGCAGGAUGAAGGUCCUAUGGAUUGUAAACUGCUUUUGUAAGGGAAGAAUAAGGAGUACGUGUACUUUGAUGACGGUACCUUACGAAUAAGCAUCGGCUAACUCCGUGCCAGCAGCCGCGGUAAUACGGAGGAUGCGAGCGUUAUCCGGAAUCAUUGGGUUUAAAGGGUCCGUAGGCGGGCUGAUAAGUCAGAGGUGAAAGCGCUUAGCUCAACUAAGCAACUGCCUUUGAAACUGUCAGUCUUGAAUGAUUGUGAAGUAGUUGGAAUGUGUAGUGUAGCGGUGAAAUGCUUAGAUAUUACACAGAACACCGAUAGCGAAGGCAUAUUACUAACAAUUUAUUGACGCUGAUGGACGAAAGCGUGGGGAGCGAACAGGAUUAGAUACCCUGGUAGUCCACGCUGUAAACGAU